GGACAGCGUCGAUCUUCUGAGUACAACAGAUGCCGAAGGUGGGAUUGCGGUUCGACAAAGAAGGCAACCUUCUAGCUGUUUCACGAGGGAGGGUUUUAAGAUUCUAGCGAACUCAACAGGUUCUAAACUUCUGCAAUAAGUCAUUCACUUUGGUAUAUUUUUCCCUUCCUCAAUAGCCUAGUUCCUCUGAUGCUGUGACUGUAAAUGCGGAUUCUGCAAUGGGUUUUGCUUUAGAUUCUGUUUGAUUCUGUCUCCUCUUUAGCUUUUCGUUUUCUUCUUCUACUUCAUUGAACUUUUCCUGCAACCG